rnacentral:rRNA from 1 species
AGCGAACGCUGGCGGCAGGCCUAACACAUGCAAGUCGAACGAAUCCUUCGGGAUUAGUGGCAGACGGGUGAGUAACACGUGGGAACGUGCCCUUUGGUUCGGAACAACUCAGGGAAACUUGAGCUAAUACCGGAUGUGCCCUUCGGGGAAAGGAUUUAUCGCCAUUGGAGCGGCCCGCGUCUGAUUAGCUUGUUGGUGGGGU